GAUGAAGAACGCAGCGAAAUGCGAUACGUAAUGUGAAUUGCAGAAUUCAGUGAAUCAUCGAAUCUUUGAACGCAUAUUGCGCUCUUUGGUAUUCCGAAGAGCAUGCUUGUUUGAGUAUCAGUAAACACCUCAAAGACUUCAAUUUGUUUUGAAUGGCUUUGGACUUGAGCAAUCCCAACACCAGUCUUUACGUUCGGUGGAGGGUUGCUUGAAAUGCAGGUGCAGCUGGACAUUCUCCUGAGCUAAAAGCAUAUUUAUUUAGUCCCGUCAAACGGAUUAUUACUUUUGCUGCAGCUAACAUAAAGGGAGUUUGACCGUAUUGGCUGACUGAUGCAGGAUUUCACAAGGGUCGGCAACGAUUCUUGUAAAACUCGAUCUCAAAUCAAGUAAGACUACCCGCUGAACUUAAGCAUAUCAAUAAGCGGAGGA
rnacentral:misc_RNA from 1 species